AGCGAACGUUUGCGGCGGGCUUAACACAUGCAAGUCGAACGGGCUGUUCCUUCGGGGGCAGUCAGUGGCGCACGGGUGCGUAACACGUAGGUAAUCAACCCUCUGGUUGGGGAUAACACUUCGAAAGGAGUGCUAAUACCCGGUAUGGCGCAGCGGUCUUCGGAUCGCGGCGAGAAAGACCCGCAAGGGUUGCCAGAGGACGAGCCUGCGGCCCAUCAGCUAGUUGGCGAGGUAACGGCUCACCAAGGCGAAGACGGGUAGCUGGUCUGAGAGGAUGAUCAGCCACACUGGAACUGAGACGCGGUCCAGACUCCUACGGGAGGCAGCAGUGGGGAAUAUUGCGCAAUGGGCGAAAGCCUGACGCAGCCACGCCGCGUGAGCGAUGAAGGCC
rnacentral:rRNA from 1 species